CCUACGGGUGGCUGCAGUGAGGAAUAUUGGUCAAUGGCCGAGAGGCUGAACCAGCCAAGUCGCGUGCGGGAAGACGGCCCUACGGGUUGUAAACCUCUUUUGUCCGGGAGCAAAGCGAGUCACGUGUGACUCACUGAGAGUACCCGAAGAAAAAGCAUCGGCUAACUCCGUGCCAGCAGCCGCGGUAAUACGGAGGAUGCGAGCGUUAUCCGGAUUUAUUGGGUUUAAAGGGUGCGAAGGCGGGGGGGCAAGUCAGGGGUAAAAUUGCGGGGCUAAACCCCGUACUGCCGCUGAAACUGCAUGGCUUGAGAGCGAUAGAAGUAGGUGGAAUGUAUGGUGUAGCGGUGAAAUGCUGAGAGAUCACGCAGAACUCCGAUUGCGAAGGCAGCAUACC
rnacentral:rRNA from 1 species